UGUGCAUUUGAUGUUUGCUGAGGUUUGGAACCCAACUGGGACUUCAACCAUGAGGAGGUUUUUUCUCCUUUGCAUCUUUGCUGCCUCUUUAGUACUCAUGGCCACACCAGGAUUUGCUAAAAUCCAGAAGCCACAAACAUUUGCAGAAUGUGAGAAGUUGGGAGCUACAUGCAGUUUUUUCACAUGCUUAUCACCUAAGGUUCCCUUUGGUAGUUGUAACUUUUGGCGUCCCUGCUGCAUCCGAUUCUAGGAAACCAUGAAGUACAGCUUAUCUGGUUGUGGUGGGUUUUCUGGGCUGUGUGGCCAUGGUCUGGUGGAUCUUGUUCCUAACGUUUCGCCUGCAUCUGUGGCUGGAAUCUUCAGCUUGUCUAUUUAAAAAUGCCUGGAAGACAGCAUCUAACUUCUGAAAUUUCUAGAACACCCUUUGGGAUGAAACUUCCAUUCUCUAAUGUGCCAGUGGAAUAAGAUACCCAUGAAGAUUCUGAAAACCACUUCUAGUUUAAUAUAUUAGUGUGCGUAAUUUGCUUGACCAGUCACUUUUGAAAAUGUCAGGCCUGCUGGAAUGAGUUCCAUGCUGAGAUUACUUUGUGCAAAACAACAAGCAUGUAAUAGACUCAAUCCUCAUGUAGAUAUCACAUGUAAUGAAUGCAUGAGCUUUUUCAUCAUGCCUCCAUGUGAUAGAAGUUGCCACCUUCCAUGGCUUCUACAGCAUAUGCACAUGGUAGAUACAUGUACCUUCAUCAGAUGGUAGAAGCUAUAUGAAGUAUUUGCUCAGUUUCCAACCUGCAAUAACUCCUAGGCAGGAAAUUACUCUUCCAUGAAGUGGCCCUGACAAUGCUCAGUUCUUACAUAAGUACGGGAACAUAUUCAUUGAACAUGCUGCAAUUCAAGUAUAAUUUCCUGGCAAACAGAUCACUGUGGAAAACUUGAGGAGUCCACUAGCAUACUUUCCCAUGCCUAGCAUCUAGCUUAGAUGUGUCAGAUUAUCUUUUGCACCCUUUUUUGAUGGGUUCAAAAUUCAUAAUGCCAUUUAUGACUUCAAACAGAGCUUUCCUCCUAUGAAAAUGGGAUGUGGUUUUCCUUGGGAGACAGAAAUGGUAGAAAUAGCUCUUACAACACAUGUUACCCAAGAAAGCUGUGGUUUUGCUGUCUGACUGACAGGAGCACAGCACAUUGGCAAAUAGAUUGGCAAUAUUCCUACAGCUCAUAAAAACUUGAAUAUUGCUUUGCCUCACACCAUCAACAAUCUCCAGUUAAACUAGAUGGUUCACUAACAUAGAUUACUAUUUUGUCUGCUUACUUUUGUAUAUGAAUUAAUAAUCCAUUUUGUUUUUCUAAUAAACAUCUUCUUUGCUUACCACUAUA